UGCAGUCGAGCGGACAGAAGGGAGCUUGCUCCCGGAUGUUAGCGGCGGACGGGUGAGUAACACGUGGGUAACCUGCCUGUAAGACUGGGAUAACUCCGGGAAACCGGAGCUAAUACCGGAUAGUUCCUUGAACCGCAUGGUUCAAGGAUGAAAGACGGUUUCGGCUGUCACUUACAGAUGGACCCGCGGCGCAUUAGCUAGUUGGUGAGGUAACGGCUCACCAAGGCGACGAUGCGUAGCCGACCUGAGAGGGUGAUCGGCCACACUGGGACUGAGACACGGCCCAGACUCCUACGGGAGGCAGCAGUAGGGAAUCUUCCGCAAUGGACGAAAGUCUGACGGAGCAACGCCGCGUGAGUGAUGAAGGUUUUCGGAUCGUAAAGCUCUGUUGUUAGGGAAGAACAAGUGCAAGAGUAACUGCUUGCACCUUGACGGUACCUAACCAGAAAGCCACGGCUAACUACGUGCCAGCAGCCGCGGUAAUACGUAGGUGGCAAGCGUUGUCCGGAAUUAUUGGGCGUAAAGGGCUCGCAGGCGGUUUCUUAAGUCUGAUGUGAAAGCCCCCGGCUCAACCGGGGAGGGUCAUUGGAAACUGGGAAACUUGAGUGCAGAAGAGGAGAGUGGAAUUCCACGUGUAGCGGUGAAAUGCGUAGAGAUGUGGAGGAACACCAGUGGCGAAGGCGACUCUCUGGUCUGUAACUGACGCUGAGGAGCGAAAGCGUGGGGAGCGAACAGGAUUAGAUACCCUGGUAGUCCACGCCGUAACGAUGAGUGCUAAGUGUUAGGGGGUUUCCGCCCCUUAGUGCUGCAGCUAACGCAUUAAGCACUCCGCCUGGGGAGUACGGUCGCAAGACUGAAACUCAAGGAAUUGACGGGGGGCCCGCACAAGCGGUGGAGCAUGUGGUUUAAUUCGAAGCAACGCGAAGAACCUUACCAGGUCUUGACAUCCUCUGACAACCCUAGAGAUAGGGCUUUCCCUUCGGGGGACAGA
rnacentral:rRNA from 1 species